CCUACGGGAGGCAGCAGUGGGGAAUAUUGGGCAAUGGGCGCAAGCCUGACCCAGCAACGUCGCGUGAAGGAAGACGGCCCUCGGGUUGUUAACUUCCUUUUAGAGGGAAGAGCAGAAGACGGUACCUCUUGAAUAAGCCAUGGCUAACUACGUGCCAGCAGCUGCGGCAAUACGUAGGUGGCAAGUGUUGUCCGGAUUUACUGGGUGUAAAGGGCGUGCAGCCGGGAAGACAAGUGAGAUGUGAAAUCCCGCGGCUCAACCGCGGAACUGCAGUGGAAACUGGUUUUCUUGAGUACGGGGGAGGUCAGCGGAAUUCGUUGUGUAGCGGUGAAAUGCGUAGAUAUAAGGAAGAACACCGGUGGCGAAGGCGGAUGACUGGAGGGCAACUGACGGUGAGGCGCGAAAGCGUGGGGAGCGAACAGGAUUAGAUACCCUGGUAGUC
rnacentral:rRNA from 1 species